UAGCUUGCUAUGGUAGUAACUUAGUGGCAGACGGGUGAGUAAUGUAUAGGAAUCUACCUAGUAUACGGAACAAUUAGUUGAAACGGCAACUAAUACCGUAUACGCCCUACGGGGGAAAGAUUUAUUGCUAUUAGAAUGAGCCUAUAUUAAGAUUAGCUAGUUGGUGGGGUAAUGGCCUACCAAGGCAGUGAUCUAUAGCUGAUCUGAGAGGAUGAUCCAGCCACACUGGAACUGAGAUACGGUCCAG
rnacentral:rRNA from 1 species